rnacentral:rRNA from 1 species
UACAGAGGUCCCAAGCGUUGUUCGGAUUCACUGGGCGUAAAGGGUGCGCAGGUGGGUUUGCAAGUUUGAUGUGAAAGCCCCGGGCUUAACCCGGGAAUGGCAUUGAAUACUGCAGAUCUGGAGGAUUGGAGGGGGGACUGGAAUUCUUGGUGUAGCAGUGAAAUGCGUAGAUAUCAAGUGGAACACCAGUGGCGAAGGCGAGUCUCUGGACAUUUCCUGACGCUGAGGCACGAAAGCCAGGGGAGCAAACGGG